GCGUGAGUGAUGAAGGCCCUAGGGUUGUAAAGCUCUUUCGACGGGGACGAUAAUGACGGUACCCGUAUAAGAAGCCCCGGCUAACUUCGUGCCAGCAGCCGCGGUAAUACGAAGGGGGCUAGCGUUGCUCGGAAUCACUGGGCGUAAAGCGCACGUAGGCGGACUUUUAAGUCGGAGGUGAAAUCCCAAGGCUCAACCUUGGAACUGCCUUCGAUACUGGAAGUCUCGAGUCCGGAAGAGGUGAGUGGAACUCCGAGUGUAGAGGUGAAAUUCGU
rnacentral:rRNA from 1 species